rfam:Schistosoma mansoni strain Puerto Rico chromosome 1, complete genome
AUUCAGAUUACGAGUCUCAAAUAGAAUGAAACGCGCGUCCCGAAU